rnacentral:rRNA from 1 species
UACGAAGGGGGCUAGCGUUGCUCGGAAUCACUGGGCGUAAAGGGUGCGUAGGCGGGUCUUUAAGUCAGGGGUGAAAUCCUGGAGCUCAACUCCAGAACUGCCUUUGAUACUGAGGAUCUUGAGUACGGGAGAGGUGAGUGGAACUGCGAGUGUAGAGGUGAAAUUCGUAGAUAUUCGCAAGAACACCAGUGGCGAAGGCGGCAUCCUGGACCGACACUGACGCUGAGGAGCGAAAGCCAGGGGAGCAAACGGG